rnacentral:miRNA from 1 species
UUCCUUCCGGUCAAUGAGGUAGAUGUACCUCAUCAAUCGGAAGGGUUUCCUUCCGGUCAAUGAGGUACAUGUACCUCGUUGACUGGAAGGAA